GGCCUGGGCAGUGACCAGAACAUGAAGAAAAGGCUGUCGGCUAACCAACGUUUCGAACAGUUAUUUGACGUGUAGCACUAACUGGUUGUAACUUCAUCACACUAGCAGACAUUUCUGAACUGAUAUUGCUUUAAAGAAAUAUGCGCACACAUUGAUGUAAUAGUUUAAAAGCGCUGUGAGGAUAUGUUGACCCCGUGCUGGUGUUUACGGUGUGAGACACAGUUGUGAACUCGUGCUGACGGACAUUUGCAACGAGAGGGCACUCUGGCAGGACUUGGUGCUGAAUGGACAGCAGUCACUCCUCGGUCCGAGCUGAGUUACAAUUAAUGCUUGCAUACUGGAGACAUUUGGAUUAAAUAUCGUUACUGUCAAUAAAGCAUGUUUUAAAACAUGUGCAUUAGGAAUCAAUAAAAUAUGCAACACCAUACACUUUGAUAGAGUGUUUUUAAAGUAUAACUUAGAAAUAUAUCAUUUACAUUUUAUACGCUCCCAGAUACGAAAUUGACAUCAAGCUGUUUACCAGAGUAUGAAUACAAACACAUGGACAUUCACAUUUCACAACAGGAAGAAACUGUUGCAUCUGUUUAUUUCACACACAUACGCACUCGCGUCUGCACACCGGUUAUUUUCCUGCCAUACACGGGAAGCCGCAGAACGGUUGUAAAAUACGUGGGCAUGUCGUACUUAUCUGAUUAUCUCCUCAAGAAAACAUUUCAAGUAUAAAAAUAGCGGACGCUGCGGCUCAUAAGCGUCUCUUCAUGAGCACGUGAUCAAAGCGCAGAAACCACGGGAGCGGAUCUAACCUGCUGCUCCGUCUGUAUCUCGAGCAGAGGAUAGAGGAGGAUGGCACAAAAAUGCAGACGAACGUGAAGGGCCAACCCUUGCAGGCAUACCCCAGCGAACUUGGUCUACCCACCCCUGUCCUCAUCUGAGGAACUCACAGAGCUCAUUCCCCUUCCACUCCGCUCUCCCUCUUCCCCUCUUUCUACAGAUGCCUUUCUGGCCAACUUUGAGGGGAAAGUGGCCAGUACCCAGAAUGCCUUCACUUAUCCAGUGAUGCCCUGUACUCCCCAUGGUAAACUCACUCCUACACUUACCUCCUUCAAGCUUCUGGAGAACAUAGAUGUACUCAAACUCAUGACCACUCAUCAUGCAACCAUGGGUCUGCUAGAUCCCAUCCCAUCAGCAGUGCUUCAGUCUAUAUCCAAAAAACCUGCUUGACCCACCCCAGUCUGGCUUUUGAAAUAGGCACUCAACCGAGACUGCCCUCCUGACUGUGACAGAGGCACUUGUCACUGCAAGAACCUCAUCCCUCUCCUCUGUCCUGAUCCUUCUAGACCUGUCUGCAGCAUUCAUGGUCAACUACCAACUACUCAUUUCCACACUGGCUGAGAUGGGCAUUUCUGAAACUGCCCUCUCUUGGUUUGCUUCCUAUAUUGCAGAUAGAUCCUAUCAGGUCACCUGGAUGGGGUCUGUCUCUGCACCUCAUCCCCUUGUUGCAGGAAUCCCACAUAGAUCUAUACUGGAGCCUCUGCUGUUCUCCAUUUAAACCAAAUCUCUUGGCUCAGUCAUUACUUCAUAUGGUGUAGGAAUUUCCAAACAAAAAUAAUGGUUUUGAAGAUGAAGAUAACAAACAACAGUGUCAGGAGCUCAUUUUGAUGUUUUGAUAAAACGACCAGUUGGGAGGAGGUACAAGUACAGUCUUCAUACAUGAGUUUAUAUAUUUUUAAGUACUGUUGUUCCAGUCUAUCAGAUUCAUUCAAUCACCAUUUUCAAAAGUUCAAUUUGUGGCCAAUCACAGGUUAGGGAGUCCAUACCAAGACUGACUAUGUGGGCCUCCUCCAACUUGACAGUCCUUUGAUUCCUUAAUGCAUUUUAUUUGUACUGCAGCUGGGGUUUAUCUCCUUGUACUUACAUAGCAACAGAUGCAUUGUGUGGGGUGAAACAUCAUACAAUUAGAUGUGUAGGCUAUUGAAAGUAAACAUUAAGUAGACAUUCAGGACUUACAUUGAAUUACAUUUAUCAGAUUACUAUAAGGUCAAUAUGACAUUUUAUUGCUUACACAAUGCUUUAUGUAAAUCAACUUUUCAACCAUCUAGAUCAAAUCUUAGGAGGGGAGAAUUUAUAACAUUCUAUGUCCAUACAUAUAGGACAAAUAUAUGCUUUUAUUCUUACAGAAUUAUUUACAAGACCAUGUUUCAGUAAUACAAAAAAAAAAAAAAAAUUCUCCAAAAAAUGCAGGUGUAGGAAGCUGCGCCGGUUACAUGUCUUAUUCGUCUGCAUUUGGUGUCAUGCCCAUGCUUCUCUUUCCUCUGCUCGAGAAAUAGACGGAGCUGCGGGUUAGAGCCGCUCGCGUGGUUUCUGCGCUUUGAUCAUAUACUCAAGAAGGGAAGCUAAUGAGCCGCAGCGUUCGCUAUUUUUAUUCGUUCAUUUUUUUCUAGACGAGCUAAUCAGAUGCGUAAGAUAUGUCUGUGUUUUUUAUAACAGUUCUGCGGCUUUCUUCCUGUGUGUGGCAGGAAAAUAACGGGGUGUGCAUACUAGCGCGUAGGCUAGUAUGCUUUGAAAUAAAGAAAUGCAGCGGGUUUAAUCCUCUGGGGAAAUGUGUAUGUACGUUUGUUUGUGUGUAUGUUCUUGAACAGCUUGGUGUCCAUUCCAUGUUCCAUGUCCCAGGUUAUUGUAUUGUAUGGUCUACGUUUAUUGAUUCCUAAUGCAAAGAUUUUAAAACAUGCAUUAUUGACUGCAGCACUAUUUCGAUCCAAAGUUCCAGUCCGCGAGCAUUACAGCUCUGCCUGGACCAAGGAGUGACCGCUGUCCAUUCAGAACCACGUGCUGCCAGACCACCGUCUCACCGCAAAUAUCCAUCAGCGUGAGGUCACAGCUGUAUGGGGGUAUUAUUGCCUCAAAAUAAAUAAAUAAAUAAAUAAAUAAAUGUAACUGAUGCACAAAUAAAUAUAGCGAAUCCACAAAUAAAUAUAGCUGAUUCACAAAUAAAUGCAUCUGAGUCACAUUUUAUAUUACCUUGUGCUUAGACUCAAAGAAAAAAAUGAUUGUCUCAAAAAUCCACAAAUAGGUUUUAUUUCUCACUGUGUCUAGUUCAGAUUUUAAGACACCCUUUCGCCAACGCUCGCAUUACCCUCCGACCAAUCACGGAUACACUUCGGGAUUGUGUUGUGUAGCGCCAAAACAACUGCUCCGUCGGGAUGGU